GGAUGCUCAAGAGAGGUCCGCAUCGAUGAGGAAGCUUAUGACGGCAGUCGUUCUUUGCGUCAUAUUCAUGACAGUGGAAGUGAUUGGUGGCAUCAAAGCCAACAGUCUUGCAAUCUUAACUGACGCGGCUCAUCUCCUUUCGGACGUUGCAGCAUUCGCCAUUUCCUUGUUCUCUCUCUGGGCAUCAGGGUGGGAGGCUAC
rnacentral:misc_RNA from 1 species